CCAUAGUGAUAUGUCUCGAAAAUCACAACCAUCGUUUUCUGAUGAGGUUCAGGUUCGGUUUGGAAUGAGAUUUGUGAAACAUAUUUUCACUUUGAGAUAUCUUCAUCAGCCCUAACCAAACCAAUACUAUUUCUUUCUCUUUUCUUUCUUUCUUCCUUUCAAAACCCACGCACCCAAUCAGAUAAAAAAAAAAAAACAAAAAAAAAAGGAGAAUAAAUUCCAUCCUUGAGUAGAUGAGCCUCUGAUCUUCAACUACAUCUGCGGAAGGUGUGAUUUGAUAGAGCACGUUUUCGGUAGCGAGGCUGGGACACCAUCAAGUCGAUCAGUCGGAGAAGUGUCAGAGAAAUUCAAACUACAGAUGCCGGUUGAAGACGUGCUCGACAUCAAGUUCAGCUCUUCGAUGGCUCCGAUUUGGGCCCUUUUCAAUACUCUUCGGCCUCUACCAUAGAUAUGAACUCAGAGCGAUCAUUCCGUUUGUUUUUCUACUAGGUGGAAUUUUUUGUCUCUAUUUUAUCGAGAACCAAAUUGAAUGUUAAGGAUGUGACUAUUUGUUGAAGUUCUUGAUCGUGUUGA